UACGAAGGGGGCUAGCGUUGCUCGGAAUUACUGGGCGUAAAGCGCACGUAGGCGGCUUUCUAAGUCGGGGGUGAAAUCCUGGAGCUCAACUCCAGAACUGCCUUCGAUACUGGAGAGCUCGAGUCCGGGAGAGGUGAGUGGAACUGCGAGUGUAGAGGUGAAAUUCGUAGAUAUUCGGAAGAACACCAGUGGCGAAGGCGGCUCACUGGCCCGGUACUGACGCUGAUGUGCGAAAGCGUGGGGAGCAAACAGG
rnacentral:rRNA from 1 species